AAAGACCUUAUGCUUUUGGAGCGGCCGAUGUCUGAUUAGCUAGUUGGUAAGGUAAUGGCUUACCAAGGCAACGAUCAGUAGUUGGUCUGAGAGGACGGCCAGCCACACUGGGACUGAGACACGGCCCAGACUCCUACGGGAGGCAGCAGUGGGGAAUUUUGGACAAUGGGCGCAAGCCUGAUCCAGCAAUGCCGCGUGAGUGAAGAAGGCCUUCGGGUUGUAAAGCUCUUUCAGUUGGGAAGAAAAGGUUAUGACUAAUAAUCAUAACUCAUGACGGUAUCGACAGAAGAAGCACCGGCUAACUACGUGCCAGCAGCCGCGGUAAUACGUAGGGUGCGAGCGUUAAUCGGAAUUACUGGGCGUAAAGGGUGCGCAGGCGGUUCUGUAAGUCAGAUGUGAAAUCCCCGGGCUUAACCUGGGAACU
rnacentral:rRNA from 1 species